rnacentral:rRNA from 1 species
UAGUUUGUCGGAUUAGACCCGAAACCGAGUGAUCUAGAUAUGAGCAGGUUGAAGGUGCAGUAACAUGCACUGGAGGACCGAACCCACUAAUGUUGAAAAAUUAGGGGAUGACUUGUGUCUAGGGGUGAAAGGCCAAUCAAACUCGGAGAUAGCUGGUUCUCUGCGAAAUCUAUUUAGGUAGAGCGUCAUCCGAAUACCCUCGGGGGUAGAGCACUGGAUGGGUAAUGGGGCCCCACAGGCUUACUGAUCCUAACCAAACUCCGAAUACCCGGGAGUACUAGAUGGCAGACACACGGCGAAUGCUAACGUCCGUCGUGAAGAGGGAAACAACCCUAACCUCCAGCUAAGGCCCCUAAUUCAUGGCUAAGUGGGAAAGCAGGUGAGACGACCAAAACAACCAGGAGGUUGGCUUAGAAGCAGCCAUCCUUUAAAG